rnacentral:rRNA from 1 species
AUUGAACGCUGGCGGCAGGCCUAACACAUGCAAGUCGAACGGUAACAGGAAGAAGCUUGCUUCUUUGCUGACGAGUGGCGGACGGGUGAGUAAUGUCUGGGAAACUGCCUGAUGGAGGGGGAUAACUACUGGAAACGGUAGCUAAUACCGCAUAACGUCGCAAGACCAAAGAGGGGGACCUUCGGGCCUCUUGCCAUCGGAUGUGCCCAGAUGGGAUUAGCUAGUAGGUGGGGUAACGGCUCACCUAGGCGACGAUCCCUAGCUGGUCUGAGAGGAUGACACGCCAACGGGGAACUGAGACACGGUCCAAACCCCUAGGGGGGGCAGCAGUGGGAAAUAUUGCAAAAGGGGGGCAAGCCUGAGGCACCCAGGCCGGGUGAAUGAAGAAGGCCUGCGGGUUGUAAAGUAAUUUCAGGGGGGAGGAAGGGAGAAAAGUUAAAACCUUUGCUAAUGGACGUUACCCGAAAAAGAAACCCCGGCUAACCCCGU